rnacentral:lncRNA from 1 species
CCUGCACAUGUGCGACACACUCACUGUCACCUAAACGUGUCUUGCUAUUUGUCAACGGAGAAGCAGAGACUUGGGACCCGUGAGCAGGCUGCUCAGGGCCAAGGUUGGGAGCUUCGGGCAAUAGUGAGAGGACUGACCCGCCUCCUUAGGAUGGACGUCCUGGAAGUCAGGGGCUGAGGCUUUAAGGAGGAACCAACAGAGGGAAUUAGAGGGAAUUCCCUUUUCUGUGGAAAAUGACUUGGGAGCUCUUCCUCUUCUGACCACCCUGGCUGUACGUGGAAAGAAUUCUGUGUGAGUGUGUGCAUGAGUGUGUGUGCAAGCACUCAUGUGAGUACGCGUGUGUGGGGAUGUGUGUAGGUCCGUGUGUGCACAUGUUUCUGUGAGUGUGUGCGUGUCUGUGAGUGUGAGUACUUUGUGUGCGUGUGUGAGAGUGCAUGUGUGUGUGUGCAUGUGAGCAUGUUUGUGUUUGAGAGUGUGCUUGUGUGUGUGUAUGUGUGUGUGUGUGUGUGCGCAUGGGGGGUGGAAGGGAAACAAGAAAGUGAGGAUACGUUCCACAGCAAGGAGCAACCACACGCCCCUCCUGCCCUCACAGUGAGCCAGGUGUGUUUUUGAUUCAGUGUAAAACGUGCAUGGUUUUUCGUGUGGAGCUCCUUUUAUUUCUAUUUGACGUGUCCACUUUUCAAGAAGGACACUAGCAUGUGGCCUGUCCUUCAGCCUCGUCAACCUUCUGCUGCUUUGAUGAUCAUUUGCUCUCUUUUAAUAAAUUUUGUCUGUCCAAUGAACGUGAGGGGUUCACCCCCCCCCCGCCCCCGUGAAGCCCCUGCGGCACACUGGACACGGGGAUACAGAGGAGCAGUACGGAAGCCGAGCCUGGCCCCUCAAGCGCUCGCCUGCAAGCCUCAAAUCCUCUCUGGCCUUCUCUAAUCCAUUGUCACUAAGGAUCCACAUGGUUCUCCAUCCAAGAGCUCCAAGGACGCCUCAGAUUGUGGCAAUGUUAACAGGGGAAGCGACUGCCAAUACUGCACCUUUUAUUAUCUUGGGAUUGUUUUCAAGUGAGUGAAAUAACUGGGCUCCAGCCUGCACCUGUUAAUGGGGCUUCUGAAGGCACUUCUGCAGGUCUUUGUUUGGAAGUGGUGAUCUUGUCCUGCAGACGAGCUGGCCGCUGAGACUUCCUGCCGUGUGAGGGUAAAGCCUGGGAGACGGUUCCUUUUUAAUAACCAUUUUCAAAGCAACUUAUGAAAUCGUCAUCAGCUUUUUAAAAGAAGUAGUCCUUAUCAAGGGGGAGAAAAGCCUAUGAG